GUGUGUAUGCAUGUGUAUGCAUGUGUGUGUAUGUGUGUGUGCAUGUGUGUGCAUGUGUGUGUAUGUAAACACUAUUUUUAUUCUCACAGAAACCAAUCUUAUUUUUUAGAUUCAGUGCUUUUACAAUGUAAUUUUGUUAACCCUAAAUUAUCUUUGGGUGGGUGUCUGAGAUUUCUUCCUGCUCUUCCUUUCCAGGAUGCUCUCAUCUGCAAUAACUCAAAAAAAAAAGUUCCCUCCUUAAGCCCUGCUUCUGCCAUUUCUUACCUCUGUACUCACUUGUGUGUACACCUGAGGCAGUGACUUCCUGAGAGUUCUACUAAGUAUGGGGUUGGUCAUUUAUUUUGGUAGAAAAGGAACCACUGCAGUUAUUACUCCUUGGCUUCAUAUAGAACAUAAGGACUUUUUAAAAGACAGAGUUUCACUAUAUACCCCAGGAUAUUCUUAAUCCAUUAUCCUCCUGCCCCAGCCUCUGUAGGUGUUUGGAUUCCAGGUCUGAGCCUCUACCCUUGGAAAGCAGUAUUUCUCAUGGUUCAGGAGAAUCUUUUGAUGCUUUCAGACUUUGUUGCCAGUAAUAAUGGCUUAUCUCCCAGUUUCAGUUCUUUUGUUAGAAACAUCUAGUCUGAAACACCUAUUUGUUAUACUUUGUGUCUCCACAAUUCCAAACAUAUAGUCAUGAGUACUAACAUUUAUAAAUAACAGAGAUCUCUUUCUAUUCCAGGCUACUACAUUUUAAUGGAGAAUUGAGUUGUUUUGGACAGUACACUAUUAAUGGACUCGGAUGUAUCAUAUGUGUGCAAUGUGCUUGCUGCUGCUGUGUAAUUCGAAGCCAUGUGUGAUUGGCAGCUCAUCUGGAAAGGACCCUGUGAUGCUUUGGCAUUCCCUCAUAUGUGAUGCUGGAUUAUUAUGCAUUUGUAGACACUGUGAAUACCUUCUAUAAUGCCCUGGUGUCAGGCUUAUCUUCUUAUACACACCAUAGUGAGGAGGCUAGCGCAUAUCUGUUUAAAAAUCAUAGGCAGAUAUAGUCAUGAUUAUAACAGGAGAGAUUAUCCAUAUAGUAUUUAUAAUUCAUGCUGAGAGCCAGGUAUCAAACAAUGUUGAAAACUUGGAUGAGUGAUGAGAAACUAGAAUAAAGGUGAGAUGAGGAGAGUUCAAGGGGCAGGGAAGCAAGGAAGUCGUUGUAGCAGGGAUAUGUACUGUGUGUCUGAAACUGUCCCACUAGACAAGAAUGAAGUAAGAGUGCUCAUUCAAAAAUGUGCUGAUGCUGUGGGCUUUAACCAGGGCCUUAUCAUGCUAAGUAAGUACCCCACCACUAAACUACGGCUCAGGCCUAAAGUCUGGUAUAGCAUGAGAACAUGUAUGGAAAUAAACAGAGCUAAUAAAUAAAGCGUUUCUGCCCCACUUCUAUCUCAGUGUUUAUACAUUGUUUGUGCUUCGGCUUCUCAUUCUGGGUGUGACUGUGAGUUUCUCAAAUGCCACAGAAUUAAAGACAGGAUCUCAUGUCACAGAAAUGAAGAGCAGUGGCAGGGUCAGGGUGAAAGAGGGUCUCUCUCUGCUUCCCUCCACCUCCUACAGUCUAGACCCAGGCCGGCCAGAUAUGGCUUCCAGCAGGAAACAGCUUUCAGCCUCAUGGAGAACAUGGCUGCAAUCAUUCUCCAGUUAGAUUCAGAUGACUGAGUUGCCAGGUGAACUGUGUUGGUGGUGAACUAAUUUUCCCUCACCUCCAGUACCCAUUUUCCCAGAGUUCAAGCAAUUUUCCUGGGUAAUGAACUGUGGCAUCUAUCAAGUGGCCUGGAAAUCAAGAGAGCCGAGUGUCUUCCUAGUCCUGCUUCCUUCUGGCACUGGGAUAUCACUUGCUGCCGUGUCACUGAUCUGAGUGUUGCAAGGUCUGACAAGGGACAGGUGAGAGAGCAAGUGAAAUCCAGGGACACUUGCCUAGUUAGUGGUGGUCACACUCUGCCCUGAGUGGGUGUCAGCUGCACGGUCUCCAGGCAGUUCCCUGGCAAUUGAAGGAGCAUGUGGAACCAGAACAUGCUGUAAGCCAAAAGUGGGCCCUAGGCUUUGAUUUAGACUGAUAACAUACCCAAAGUUUGUGAGUUCAAUGCAACACAAAAUUGUAAUAAACUAGGAAGUACAAAACAAACAAAAAACCAAGCAAAAAAUAACACAUACUUCAAAGCUAUAUUUACUUAAAAAAUUUAGUACGUUUUCCACAGAAAAAUCAAAAGGGAGCACCUGUAACAAAUCCGCUUCAUUAGCUCACAGACCGCUUCUCUCAUACAGUCAAUGUUUUUAAACAUUUUAGUCGCACUAAAACGAGUAAUUUCUUCUAUUAAGCAUUUUGCUAUUUAUAAAGUUUAUGUUAAACAUUUGAUGUUUUGUAUGUUCAAACACUACUUUUUGGUUUUUACUAAAAAUGUUUCUGGUUUGCUAAUGAAAAUACCUGCCAGAAAACUUCCAUAUUAUAUGUCAUUUUAAUGAAAAAAAAAAAAAACCCAGGAUAGGUACUUAUUGGUAAACGGAAGGAAAAAGAUAUCUAAUAAAAACUAACUCAAUACAAAAGAAGUAACUAAGAUAUAAAAAUUUUUACAUUUAAAUAAUAUACAUUUUAGAUUGCAAUAGAUAAACAAAUGCUUACUCAGGCAGGAAUGGCUCCAUCUAUGAAUAAAAUAUGGUUCCUGAAGAUGAAACAAUUAUCCAAACCCACAGAUUAACUAUGUAGAACAUCAAAUGUAAGACUAAAAUAAGGCUUUUUGUGAGCAUUUUUAUGGUUUAUAAGAAUACCAUAUAAGGUAUCCUAGAAGGAAAAAUAUGGUUAAGUUCAACUGCAUUUCAGUUAACAGACAGCUGUCCUAACUGGGUUUUUUUAUUGUUGUUAUGAUAAAAACACCAUGACUAAAAGUUACAGGGUGGGGAAAGGCUUUGUUUCUCCAUACAGCUUCUAAGUCUGUCACAGACAGGAACUCAGGGCAGGAACAGAGAUGCAAAGACCAGGGAGGAUUGCUGGUUACUGGCUUGCUCAACCUGCUUUCUUAUACAUCCCAGGACUGCUUCUUGCCCAGGAGUGGCACCACUCACGGUGGACCCUCCCACAUCAAUCACUAAUUAAGAAAAUGUACUACAGACUCUAUAGCCAAAUAUUACGGAAGCAUUUUCUUAAUUGAGAGUCCCUCUUCCCCAAUAAUUCUGACUUCUGUCAAUUUGACAAUAAACCAGUAAAGACAAGUAAUCUGGCCCAAGUCUAGGCAGAUCAUUUACGAGACAAAUGGUCAUAUUACAGAAUCAAGCUGGGACCACGGGUGAGUACACAUCAUGCUGGAAAGGUGCAUGGAAGCUGCCGGAGAAGGACAGCCACUGACAGUGUGUGCAACUGUGGAGGCCUCAAGGCACAACUCCAACAUGGCAGGCAUGUGGGAAUAGCUGCAUGGCUGUUGUGGGAAUAAAAGAUUGUUGACUGGGUUUGAGGCCCACAGUACAGACAGAAUGCACUGUCCUGCAAAUCUGGUCAAAAUUCUAUGGCUAGAGUGGCCCAUAGGCCCUAAGGGGGUAACUUCCUACUCUUGUUUUGCUAAAUGGGCAUAAGAAGAACCUGCUUCUAAGUAUCCACGCUUAUACCCAUAGACAAAUGCCACUCUCAGCCUUGGCCAGAGCAGCUUCUGCAGUGAACAGCAGUGUGUGCAGAGAUUCACGACUGUUUGAGGUGCUGAUAUUAAGUCAAGGCUGAGUGCUUAGCCCUAAACAGGACAUUUACACCACACUCCUCUAAGGCUUGGGGACAUCGAGGAAGAGAGGGUAGAAAGAAUGUAAAGCAUUGUCAGAGUGACAGGGAGAAGGGCUGGGACUGUGACCUGGGCACGACACAGGGACUGCAGUCAUGAACUCAAGCAGCUGUGGACCCUUCAUGGUGCACACCUAAGACUGGCCCUCCAGCAGUCAGGGAUGGGAGAAGGGCUCCUGGGGUCAUGCCCACGAGCACUGUGGGAGGGCAGUCAGUUUUUACAGCUGUGUACCCACUGCUAAGCUCAUCAGGCUCAAAUGGACAGUUUCACCCCCAUGGUCAUACAGGGGCUAAAUUCAGUGUCAUCACACGCAUGUAUGUAGAAAGGGGUAUGUAGUAAGGAGAAAGAGGGGAGUUGGAGGGGUUAGGAUGGAGACAAGAAAGGGGGACAACAGUUACCAGAAGGUGCUAUACACAUGUAUAAAAUUCUCAAAGAAAAAUUAGUAAAAACAACAAAGCACUAGUCAGAAGCCAAAGCCAGUUCUUUGUAAAAACUUUAAUAAAAAUGUACUAAUUUAAAACUAUUUCAGAGUAGAUAGGGGCGUAAAAUAGGCGGAGUACUUGCCUGACCUGGAAAAGAGCCCAACUUUGGUCUCCAGCUUUGUAAAAAUAAAAGACAACUAAAAAAAAAAAAAAA